rnacentral:rRNA from 1 species
CGGCGGACGGGUGAGUAACACGUGGGUAACCUACCUAUAAGACUGGGAUAACUUCGGGAAACCGGAGCUAAUACCGGAUGAUAUUUUGAACCGCAUGGUUCAAAAGUGAAAGACGGUCUUGCUGUCACUUAUAGAUGGAUCCGCGCUGCAUUAGCUAGUUGGUAAGGUAACGGCUUACCAAGGCGACGAUACGUAGCCGACCUGAGAGGGUGAUCGGCCACACUGGAACUGAGACACGGUCCAG